GUAAUUUUAAUUCUAUAUUAAGAUAUGUAAUUCCACUUUUUCUUUUAUGGGUAUUGUAAAUUAUUUGAGGGGGUUGUUUUUUUUUUUCUUUCAAUCUUUUGUAGCGUUUUAAUUGUUUAAUAUUCGUGUUUUGAUUUGCUGGUUUAUGAAAGUUUUGUUUUUGAUUAAAUUGACGGUUGAGAUGGGUUUUUUUUUAGUGAAUAUAUUAUGUUUUGAAUGGAGAAUUUUGCUUUUUCUGUUGUUGAAUUUAACUAAGGAAAUAAAAUCUGGCUGAUUUAGGUAUAUAUCUAGGUUAAUUUGAUAUUGUAGCCAUUAAUAGACCUUAUAAAAAAUUUAAGCUUGUGAAAGUUGGUAUCUUGACGCUUACAGAUCUAAGUUCUUUUUUUUUUGUGAAUUAUUUAAUAAGGAAAGUUUUUAUUGUAGUUAUAUAAAUUUGCUUUGACUUUUACUUUCCCUUAUUGAGGGGUUUUGCUUGAGUGGAGGUUUAACAAGGGAAGGGAAAGAACAAUUUGCUUUGUACAGUUAGUUUUGUGAGAGAUUUUAGAGGUAAUUUGAUAGUAAUUAGGCGUUAAUUGUUUACAUAUUGAUUAUUUCAUUCAUUACCAAUCACUAAUAAGUUAUCCAAUGUUUGUAACAGAUCUUAAUUCUUAGAACUGUCUUUGCAUAUUGCCCUUUGUGUCUCAUCAUGACCCAAGAAGAAAAGAGUUUCGUUUUCGUUCAACUCGAUUUUGAACCUGUUACUUUGAAUCUUUAUGGUGUUAUUUAGGCUAGACAACUAAGGAUGACAAGUACAAACAUGUUGGGGUUGAAUCCAAUGGUGAUUUAAAACACCAUGUUCAGUUUUUGCUUCUUACAAUUAAAAGCUGCCUGAAAAGAUUUUCUCUGUGUCUUUUUUAUCUUUUUUCUUCUCUUUCUUAUCCUUGUGUUAUGUUUUUUCACCCCACAAGCUCUAAAGAUAUUGGUCCUGUAUACCUUUUUUUUUUCUUUAUUAAAAAGGUCCUCUAUAGCUUUUCUGGAUUUGGGUUUAUGUGGGUAUUUACCUUUCUUUUCCCCAAAUAUGUCCCCAUGUUUGAGACUGACACACCGCGACUGCGGUGUUUUUGAUGCAAAGGGGUCACCACCGGCACCGCGUCAUGCUGGCCCAUGCCUAGGCUAGCUGUGCCUUUUGAACUAAUGGGUGAAAUCCAGUAUCCCUUCUGGACCCACAGGAGGCUGUUGGAUACCUACAUUCCCUUACCUAUGAGAUUGGCAAAUAAAGUUGAAGGUGUUAGCUCAUAUGUGGAUUGAUGUGAGGUUCCAGCUUGAAGUAGGCGUCUCUCCUUAGUUUACAAGCCCAUAUUGAGUAGUAAUUCCCAAUUCAGGCAAUCCUGUGUUCAUUAAUGUAGACUAGUCUUAUAUGCACGCAAUGCAUGCGAAAGCAAAGAAAGUAUAACUAAUUGCGUAAUUACAUCUAAUAACCUGAAAUAACAUGUAAGAAAAAUUGCUUACAAAGUUCCGAUGAAGAAAAACAUGCCAAGUAAGUUGUUGAAUUGCCUUGAAAUUUGAUAAAACUGCUAUGUAAUUUGGCCUGUAUUUUUUGUUUGUAUUUUUAGAAAUUGUUAAAGAUAAGUAUGGUUGUUUUUAUUUGAGGGUAUAUAAUGGAGAUUGAAUUCCCUGUUUGUGUAUAUCUCAUAUUGAGGAUCGCAAUCCUGUCUCAUUUCUAUGUGAGGAGUUCAACUACUGUCAAAGACUAGGUGACUGGCAUUCACUUUAGGUUUAUACAUCCCUAGUAUUUGAUCUUCAAUCCUCUUAUAAUAGGCAAGGUACUUUGUUGUUGAUAUUGUGACACUCCCAAGUCCCACCAUUACAGUUGGGCUCGUCAAUGACGUCACAGGAUUUCAUAUCUCACAAUAUUUGCUGAGACCUUUCCGGAUUUGGUGGUGAUUGAACCUAUGUAAAUGGGGGCAGCUGAGGAGCAGACACCUUCCAAACCUUCAAAAGCAACAAGCUCAGCGCAGGAGACUCAGACAGCAAUGCCAGCUUAUCCUGAUUGGUCAAGCUCCAUGCAGGCAUAUUAUGGUACUGGUGCUACACCUCCUUUUUUCGCCUCAACUGUUGCAGCUCCAGCACCUCAUCCCUAUAUGUGGGGAGGGCAGCACCCUAUGAUGCCACCUUAUGGUACUCCAGUUCAUUACCCAGCUUUAUAUCCUCCUGGUGGCGUGUAUGCUCAUCCUAAUAUGGCAAUGACUCAGAAUGCUGCAAGUGCUGCAGAUACAGAAGGGAAAAACUCAGAUGUAAAAGAUCAGAAUUCCGGGAAAAAAUCAAAGGGAAAUUCAGGUGUGGGGAAUGAGAAGGCUGUUGAAACUGGCAAAGCAACUUCAGGCUCAGGAAAUGAGGGUGCUUCGCAGAGUGGUGAAAGUGGAAGUGAGGGUUCAUCUGAUGCUAGUGAUGACAACAACCAACAGGAUCUUUCUGCAGCUAAAAAAGGAAGCUUUGAGCUGAUGCUUGAAGAUGGGGCUAACGCACAGAAUAGUUCGGGUACUGUAAGUGGUCAGGGUUCAGUGCCUGGGAAACCUGUGGUUGCAGUACCUGCUACUAAUCUUAAUAUUGGCAUGGAUUUGUGGAACUCCUCUGCUGCUGGUGCAGUUAAGAUGAGACCAAGUACUGGAGCAUCCACAGUUGCUCCAGGAAUGGUUGGACGAGAAGGGCUUAUGCCUGACCACCAAUGGGUCCAAUUAAUGCAAGUUGAUAUAGAUGAGACCAAGUUCUUGUUGCUACUAAUCUUAAUAUUGGCAUGGAUUUGUGGAACUCCUCUGCUGCUGGUGCAGUUAAGAUGAGACCAAGUACUGGAGCAUCCACAGUUGCUCCAGGAAUGGUUGGACGAGAAGGGCUUAUGCCUGACCACCAAUGGGUCCAAGAUGAACGUGAACUUAAAAGGCAGAAACGGAAACAAUCUAAUAGGGAAUCAGCUAGGAGAUCAAGGUUGCGCAAGCAG